AUUUGUGGACAUGUUCACACAUUUUCAAUACCACGAAAGUACUGGUGAAAACUGAUCAAAGCUGGGAAAUUCAUUGCAGUAGCUGGAACCCCAUCUCGAGUCAGUCCCUUAUUACCCAGUCACAACACAGAAAGAGGAGGAGGAAGAGAGAGAGAGAGAGAGAGAGAGAGAGAGAGAGAGAACUAAAAACCCUGAAGGAUGGUUCUCAAAAAUUCUAAAGGAAC
rnacentral:lncRNA from 10 species